ACGUCAACACUCCUACGGGGAGGCAGCAGUGGGGAAUAUUUGCACAAUUGGGCGCAAGCCUGAUGCAGCCAUGCCGCGUGUAUGAAGAAGGCCUUCGGGUUGUUAAAGUACUUUUCAGCAGUGAGGAAGGUGGGUAUGUUAAUAGCAUACUCAUUUGACGUUUAGCUGCAGAAGAAGCACCGGCUAACUCCGUGCCAGCAGCCGCGGUAAUACGGAGGGUGCGAGCGUUUAAUCGGAAUUUACUGGGCGUAAAGCGCAUGCAGGUGGUUUGUUAAGUCAGAUGUGAAAGCCCGGGGCUCAACCUCGGAAUUGCAUUUGAAACUGGCAAACUAGAGUACUGUAGAGGGGGGUAGAAUUUCAGGUGUAGCGGUGAAAUGCGUAGAGAUCUGAAGGAAUACCGGUGGCGAAGGCGGCCCCCUGGACAGAUACUGACACUCAGAUGCGAAAGCGUGGGGAGCAAACAGGAUUAGAUACCCUGGUAG
rnacentral:rRNA from 1 species